CCUAUUAUUUUUAUGUAAAAUUGAUUAGUCUUGAGUAGUAGUAGUUAAGAUCUUAAAACUUAAAGAAUUUGGCGGUAUUUUAAUCUGUUUAGAGGAAUCUGUUAUGUAAUUGAUAAUCCACGUUGAACCUUACUUAAUAAAUGGUCUUGUAUAUCGCUGUUUAAUGAAUUUUCUUUUAGGUAAUUUUCUUAAUAAUUGAUUUAUUAUUAUUUCAAGUCAAGGUGCAGUUGUAUUUAAGUUGAAUAAUGGAUUACAAUAAGUUUUAUUUAAAUGGAUUAUAUUUUGAAAUAAAUUUAUGAAGGUGGAUUUAAGUGUAAUUUUUUAAAGAUUAAAAAUAUGAUUGAUUGGCUCUAAAAUAUGUACACAUCGC
rnacentral:rRNA from 1 species